rnacentral:tRNA from 1 species
GAGGGUAUAGCUCAAGUGGUAAGAGUACAUGCUUAGGAUGCACAAGGUCCUGGGUUCAAUCCCCAGUAUCUCCU